rnacentral:rRNA from 1 species
UACGGAGGGUGCAAGCGUUAUCCGGAUUCACUGGGUUUAAAGGGUGCGUAGGUGGGUUGGUAAGUCAGUGGUGAAAUCUCCAGGCUUAACUUGGAAACUGCCAUUGAUACUAUCAAUCUUGAAUACCGUGGAGGUCAGCGGAAUAUGUCAUGUAGCGGUGAAAAUGCUUAGAGAUGACAUAGAACACCAAUUGCGAAGGCAGCUGGCUACGCGGAUAUUGACACUGAUGCACGAAGCGUGGGAUCAAACAGG